GUGGGCGGUGCACCAGGGCACAGCUGUUGACCCAGCAGGUGGCUGUGGUCGUCAGAGUCAGCUCCUGUGGUGAAUGUCCCCCCUCCCCCGAAUGCAGAGGACAGGAAGUCCUGGGCAGCUGCUGAAACUUAUUUUGUUGCAAAGAUUCUCUUGCAACUUUGCCCUGAACUGCAUCAACUGCCUUACCUGCAUUUGGUGAAGCAGAGAAACAGGUUGAAGAAUAAGCAGGUCCUAGGAAUUUGGCUCCUGCUCAUUUCCUAACUCAGGCAAAGGACCCUGUGGGCAAAGUGUCCCCUGAUAGGGACCAAAACGACCCCCUCAACUAACGGGGACUGCCCUGACACCAGCAAGACCUCAUGUGAUUGACCCUAGGGAAGAGAUCAACCUGACCUUUACUUCCCCGGGCUGCAUGUACCCAUCUGCCUUUGUCUCAUAUUUUCCUGAAAGAAAUCUAGAAGUCUUUCCAGCACUUUGGAGACAGUCUUUGUAACUUUCGUCCACUGCCUACCUUUCUGAUAUUGGUCUCACAGAAAUAAAUUCCUCUCUUGUUUCACCACCA